rnacentral:lncRNA from 1 species
GAGGAUCGACGUCAAUACUAUGGUUGCAAAAGCAUAAUUUAUAGAGCUACAUUAUGAUCAGAUGGAGUUUUUCGAUUGUAUAGAGAAACAAUAGAGUCCGAUUCUCGGAAAUCUGUUGAAUUGUGGCACUCAUAUUGUAUUCAAUGCAAAAAAAUAGAACGAGAGGACCAUAUCCUAUUUAUUAUAAUUCUAGAGGUGAUCCUAGGGUGCCAAUAAUUGUGGUUUUAGUAGGGUGGACAAGGAGAUAGUAUUUAGAUGGCGAUGUCGUAAAUGAAUGAUUUUGCCCUUCAUUUGUGUUUUAAAAUGUGUUAAUCUAAUGGAGUAGUUUUUUUUUUAUUAUUUUUUUUAUUGUUAUCUAACCGAAAUCUGGUCGGACUAUAUUAAAUAUUUUCUUUCAUAUAUUUUGGAUAUUUAUUAAUUAAAAAAAAAAAGUUAUGAAUAGCAAUGUGAUGAUGACGUGUUCUAAUGAAUAUGUAUUUUAUAGGAUUGGUUUUGUUAUUCAAAAAGGACUUGCAGCG